rnacentral:rRNA from 1 species
GUGGCUCUGAUGCUAUUGCACCACAUGUGUUUUUCUUUGAAACAAACUUGCUUUGGCGGUGGGCCCAGCCUGCCGCCAGAGGUCUAAACUUACAACCAAUUUUUUAUCAACUUGUCACACCAGAUUAUUACUAAUAGUCAAAACUUUCAACAACGGAUCUCUUGGUUCUCGCAUCGAUGAAGAACGCAGCGAAAUGCGAUACGUAAUAUGAAUUGCAGAUAUUCGUGAAUCAUCGAAUCUUUGAACGCACAUUGCGCCCUCUGGUAUUCCGGAGGGCAUGCCUGUUUGAGCGUCGUUUCUCCCUCAAACCGCUGGGUUUGGUGUUGAGCAAUACGACUUGGGUUUGCUUGAAAGACGGUAGUGGUAAGGCGGGAUCGCUUUGACAAUGGCUUAGGUCUAACCAAAAACAUUGCUUGCGGCGGUAACGUCUACCACGUAUAUCUUCAAACUUUGACCUCAAAUCAGGUAGGACUACCCGCUGAACUUAAGCAUAUCAAAAGGCGGAGGAA